rnacentral:rRNA from 1 species
ACUCCUGCGGGAGGCAGCAGUGGGGAAUAUUGCACAAUGGGCGCAAGCCUGAUGCAGCCAUGCCGCGUGUAUGAAGAAGGCCUUCGGGUUGUAAAGUACUUUCAGCGGGGAGGAAGGCGAUAAGGUUAAUAACCUUGUUGAUUGACGUUACCCGCAGAAGAAGCACCGGCUAACUCCGUGCCAGCAGCCGCGGUAAUACGGAGGGUGCAAGCGUUAAUCGGAAUUACUGGGCGUAAAGCGCACGCAGGCGGUCUGUCAAGUCGGAUGUGAAAUCCCCGGGCUCAACCUGGGAACUGCAUUCGAAACUGGCAGGCUAGAGUCUUGUAGAGGGGGGUAGAAUUCCAGGUGUAGCGGUGAAAUGCGUAGAGAUCUGGAGGAAUACCGGUGGCGAAGGCGGCCCCCUGGACAAAGACUGACGCUCAGGUGCGAAAGCGUGGGGAGCAAACAGGAUUAGAUACCCUUGUAGUCCCAUG